rnacentral:tRNA from 1 species
GGGGGUGUAGCUCAAUUGGAAGAGCAACGGCCUUUUAAGCCGGUGCGCGCGGGUUCGACCCCCGUCACCCCCA